AGUUGAAUUAAGUUGAGUUGAGUUGGUGAGACUUGGAUGACCCACACGGCUAUGGAGAAGAUCGGCGGAUGCAGCGGAAGUAAGAGCAACUGGUGAUCUUGUAGUAAAUAGAUGAUAUAGUCCUUGUGACUCGCAUCCUGUUCCAAUCAUCUUCCCCGUACCCAAGUCUUGCACAAUAACAGAGUCCGCCAUAAAAGUGAUAGAACAAUCAAGAUUUUUGGUUAAUUUGCUAAUGAAAAUCAAAUUAUAUGGACAUUUAGGUACAAAUGAAAUUGAGUUUAAAGAAUAGAAGGAAGAGAUUGAACUUCUCCUAUUUCGUUAAUUAUAGUUUUUAAGCCAUUAGCCAAUGUAAAUUUAAAGGAAAUUGAAGGGGAUUUAAGAUUAGAGAAAAGGUUUUUAUUACCAGAGAUAUGAUCUGAUGCACCAAAGUCUAGUAUCCAUGAUCCAAUAGGUGUAGACUUGGUUAGAUAAGCAAAAGAAUUACCAGAGUUAGUGUUGGAAUCCCUUAAUUAGCGCAUUAGCUGUAAAUUAGAAUGUA
rnacentral:misc_RNA from 1 species